rnacentral:lncRNA from 1 species
CACACUUCUAACAAUUAUGAAAAGCUGAAGCAUGAAGGUAGGUGUGUCCACUCUGGUGUAGUCUGGUACACUGUAGCAAAGCUCUAAAUCAGAGAUGAACUGCAGCGUGUAUGAAGACAUUUCCAUAUUCACGGGCCAGAAAACCUCAGCAUUCACAUAAGACCAGCACACAUACUAUUACAUCUUACAACUUCAGGUCUUCUGAAGGCUUCAUAUACACAUCAGCUACUCUCCACACUCUGUGCCAACUAUGGAGGAGAGUGCUGACAAGCAAGUUGCUGCGCACACAGAGGACCAGACGGGCAGAGUUGUGUACACCUACUUCCAGGGUGACAUCAGCAGUAUGGUGGACGCUCAUUUCUCUCGUGCCCUCAACAAACCAAAGGAAAAUUUUUACAGUAAAUAAAGUCAAAUUCUUUGAAGUCAGAUUUCCUUGUUCUCUCUAUAUUGGUUUACAGUAGAGCUGUAGAAGGAUCUGCAUACAGGAUGUAAAUGUCCUUACAGUUCCUUACAUUUUACAUUUUUUCCAGCAUUUAGGCAUUUAUCAGACACCCUUAACAGUAGGUACAGGGACAGGAGACACUGGCUAAGUGUCUUGCUCAUAAUUCGAUGUUCCACGUUUUAUCAGUGGCCCUGCAAAGGUUGAAUGCAAAGCUUGAGUAUUUCUCUAUUUUUUUUUUUUUAGAAGACACAGAAUAUAGUCAUUGGACCUUGCAGCCUCAAUCCUGGUUGGGCACAUCCUCUGGACAUUCUCAGACUGGCAGAGUUGAGCAGCCUCCAACAAGUCCCUCUCUGUCUCCCACAAUAUGGGCUGGUAGUUUGGAACUCCCUCCUGUGAUGUACCCCCCAAGACCGUCUGCUGAACUUCAGUAUACAAACACAUGGCUCGGCCUGCUCCAGAGCGAAGAGCCAAAGCUGAGCACAGUGGUGGUGGCUCCAACCAAAGCUGAACUCCUUCCCAGCUGGAUAGCUCAUGCCUCGGACAUCAGUCAUAAUCCCGGGGCAGAGAAGAAAUAUCUAUACUGGAACUGAAGACUUAACUCUGGACAGAGGCCCAAAGUCUUAUCAACUGUUUCCCCAGGGACCACGACACCAUGAGCAAGAGCCACACAGACAGCUGGAGACAAAACAUUUCACAAAAUAGACCUCAGUCAUUCCUGUUUCGGGGACAUUAACUCACACAGUUACAGAGAAACUUGUUCUUCCAGAACAACAGGUGCUGUACAGUACAUAUAUAUAUAUAUCAUAGACCUGAAAAUGAACGUAAGAUGCACUUUGGUGCUGAAUUCCUUCACCUGACGUACUAGAAUUCCCAAAUAAAUAUCACCAGAUCUCAGUAACA